GGAAGUAAAAGUCGCAACAAGGUUUCCGUAGGUGAACCUGCGGAAGGAUCAUUAUCGAAAUACUUAUUUAGCGUUCCGUGCUAUCCCAUUGUUUUAUUUACCCUGUUGCUUCCACUGGAUGAGUUUCCAUACCUUGUGUUUGAGAAACUUUGGCUUGUGUAAGAUUCAUUCACGGCCAGCCAGUGAGAAGACCAUUUACAAAACCCUGUUAAGAACCAAUUGUCUGAAUAUUUUACUCCAAUGAAAUAAAACUUUCAGCAACGGAUCUCUAGGCUCUU
rnacentral:misc_RNA from 1 species